rnacentral:rRNA from 1 species
UAAGGAAUAUUGGACAAUGGGGGAAACCCUGAUCCAGCAAUGCCGCGUGAAUGAAGAAGGCCUUAGGGUUGUAAAGUUCUUUCGCUUACGAUGAUAAUGACAGUAGUAAGAUAAGAAGGUCCGGCUAACUCUGUGCCAGCAGCCGCGGUGAGACAGAGGGACCUAGCGUUGUUCGGAAUGACUGGGCGUAAAGGGUGCGUAGGUGGUUAUGUAAGUAAGAUGUUAAAUCCUUGGGCUCAACCCAAGACCUGCAUUUUAUACUGCGUGACUGGAGUAUGGGAGAGGAGGUUGGAAUUCCUAGUGUAGAGGUGAAAUUCGUAGAUAUUAGGAGGAACACCAGAGGCGAAGGCGAAUCUCUGGCCCAUUACUGACACUGAGGCACGAAAGCGUGGGGAGCAAA